rnacentral:lncRNA from 10 species
GCAGCUACCAGGAGGCAGCCUGAACGUGUCAGGGCCUGGGCACGACACUUGCCUUUCUUGGAGGAGUGAUUUGAAGCCAUAGUGGAAGACUGAGCCUCUAUAAAAAAUGAACGAGGACACUCUUAAUGGACAGAUACAAAACAAGCCCCAGGAGAAAGGUGUAUCAACCAUUUUAAAUCUGCCCUCAAAAGCACAGAACAAAUCAGACAGCAUUUUGCUCACAGAGGAGAGGGU